UACGGAGGGUGCAAACGUUGCUCGGAAUCAUUGGGCGUAAAGCGCACGUAGGCGCCUGUUAAGUCGGGUGUGAAAUCCCUGGGCUCAACCCAGGAAGUGCACUCGAAACUGGCGGGCUUGAAUAUGGAAGAGGGUCGCGGAAUUCCCGGUGGUAGAGGUGAAAUUCGUAGAUAUCGGGAGGAACACCAGUGGCGAAGGCGCGCCGCUGG
rnacentral:rRNA from 1 species